CUCCACACUACUCCACUUACGACUUUCUUUCCAAAUUUGCCUUUUCUCUUAUUGCAUCCCAACCCCAACUACCCAAAGAGUGUAUAUGAUGUGCUGGUAGGGAUGUCGAAUCAUGAAGUGAGAAUUAACAUCGUACCAGAGGUUGAGUUACAUGCCAAGAAAGAUGUGCUUGUGACAUCUCCUUUGCAAGAACAGGCUGCUGCAGGAAAUGAUUGUACUGAAGAAAAAGAUAACAGUGGGAAAUCACCUCUUCCUCAAGACCUGUCUAAUAAUCAAAGCAUAAAUGAAGACUUUAAAAAAUUGUACAAAGCUGCAUUGAAAGAUGAAUGGAACGCAGCUUAUAAGGAAGUUUUUAAAGGAGAUCCGUUGCAAAAUUCAAAAUAUUUAACAGCUAGGAUAUCAGAAAAACAGGACACUGCACUUCACAUUGCAGUUACGGCAGAGUCCUCUAUGUUUGUCAAAAAAACUGGUAAAUUUUAUGCAGAAAGACGAUUUGGCUAUUAAAAAUGGUGAUGGCAAUACUGCUUUUUUUCUUGCUGCUGAAUCCGGAAUGGUGGGAUUUGCCAAGAUUAUGGUUGAGAAGAAUGAAGAAUUACUAGGUAUCCGUGGAGGUGGAGUCAAGGAGAUGUUACCAAUUCAUAUAGCAGCUCAGCAUGGCCAUGAAAAGAUGAUGGAGUUUCUUCACAGCGUAACUAAAAACAUGACAGGAAAGGACAAGAAAAAAUUACAAGAUCUGACCAAUGGAAAAGAUUUGUUUGGGGAAGCGAGGGUUGAUAAUGCACCCGAAAAUGUGUUACAUGAAAAAAAAUGACGAGCAUGUGAUAAAACCUCCUCAAGAAGAGUCAGAUGAACAUGAGAUACAUGGAAAACUAUAUAGAGCUGCAUUGAAGAAUGAGUGGUACACGGCUUAUCUGUUUUUUGAGAAAGAUCGAGAGAAAAAUUCAAAAUAUGCAACUGAUAUUAUAUGAGAUAAGGAGGAUAUUGCUCUCCACAUCGCAGCUGUAGCAGGUUCCUAUAUGUUUAUCAAAAGACUGAUGAAUUAUAUGACAGUAGAACAAUUGGCUAUUAAAAAUGGCGAUGGCAAUACUGCUUUUUUUCUUGCUUCAAAAUGUGGAAGGUGGAAAUGUGCCAAGGCAAUGUUCAAUAAAAAUAAAAAGUUGCCAAAUAUCCGCGGAGAUGAUGGCAUGUUACCAAUUCACACGGCAGCUCAGCAGGGCCACAAAGAGACGGUGAAAUUCCUUUAUGGUGUCAGUGAACAUGAAUUAACACAAGAGGAUUGCAAGGAUUUGCUUCCCCAUCUAAUUAAUAGAGCUGAUUGGUUUGGUUUUGCGAUGGAUUUGCUAAAGAAAUACCCAAUUUUAGUCAAUGUUAAUUUAUUGAACGGGAGGACGGGAAAGGAAACAGUUUUGCAUGUCUUGGCUCGAACACCUUUGAUGUCUCAUGACUUGUCCAAUCAAAAUCAGGAAGGACUUGUCAAGAGAUGCUUCAACAAAUUUUCUGACAUAGAGAAGUUGCCUGUAGUGACUAAUUAGGGCUCUCAACUAUGCUAAUCAAAUCAAUCAGUGAGCAAACACAAUCUUAUCAAGCAAUAGAAUCAAAGAUUAAGUAAAGCAUGAAACAAAACAGAAAAACAAUUGACACAGGGGAUUUAUAGUGGUUCGGCUAAGGAAGCCUACAUCCACUCUUCAAGGCACACUAUAGGAUAUUUCAUUAAUUAAGAGAACCAAAGGUUACAAAGAGUAAACAAUCAAAGAAUAACAAGAAAGAACACACCCGUUUCAGCCCUCUCUCUACACCCUCUGUAUUCGCACAAAAUGGUCAGAAAUUUAUACACAUCAAGACCCCAUUGAUCAUCUUCCAGCUGUCUAGAAAGAUCUGUAGUUUGUUAGAGCAGAGGAGCACUGGAAUCUUCUGUCGUUAGAGUUGAGAAGGAACCAGGAAAAGAAAAGCGGUGAGCUGUGAGUUUGUUGCAACGAAAUGAGAUGCGUGUGCAGCAAUAAGGGCACUUAUCUUUGAUAUCCAAAACGACACCGCAUCAGCUUAAACUUAAAUUCAUUUCCUUUGACUGAAGUUGACUCCACCGUGGCAAUUUCAAGCCACAUCAUCAUCACAUUGCCCCAUGAAAAACUGCCCAAAGAAGCACUUGAACUACUCAAACUCCUUCUGGACAAAGUAGAUUGUCGUGACGACUGGAUGAAUGGAGUAAUACAUGAUGCUGUCAGACACGAAAACAUUGAAUUUUUAAGCUUGAUUAUUUGUAAUUAUUCAGAGUUCAUGAAUUGCAAAGCUAAGUGAGAUACAAAUACAUCUGGCUUAAUAUUUUCCAAUGCUAUUUUGAAACGUCAGAAGGAUAUCUUCAAACUGCUAAACGGUGUACCUCCAUCAUUUGAGAAACAAAUACUUAACUAUAAAGAUGAUGAAGGAAACAAUUGUAGAAUAUUACGUAUGUAAUAUAAUGCGGAAUUUAAUCACUUACC